rnacentral:rRNA from 1 species
CUCAGAUUGAACGCUGGCGGCAGGCUUMACACAUGCAAGUCGAGCGGUAACAGGGGGUGCUUGCACCCCGCUGACGAGCGGCGGACGGGUGAGUAAUGCAUAGGAAACUGCCCAGUAGUGGGGGAUAGCCCGGGGAAACCCGGAUUAAUACCGCGUACGCCUUCGGGGGAAAGCAGGGGAUCUUCGGACCUUGCGCUAUUGGAUGUGCCUAUGUCGGAUUAGCUAGUUGGUGGGGUAAAGGCCUACCAAGGCGACGAUCCGUAGCUGGUCUGAGAGGAUGAUCAGCCACAUCGGGACUGAGACACGGCCCGAACUCUACGGGAGGCAGCAGUGGGGAAUAUUGGACAAUGGGGGCAACCCUGAUCCAGCCAUGCCGCGUGUGUGAAGAAGGCUUUCGGGUUGUAAAGCACUUUCAGUGAGGAGGAAAACUCUGCGACUAAUACUCGUAGGGCUUGACGUUACUCACAGAAGAAGCACCGGCUAACUCCGUGCCAGCAGCCGCGGUAAUACGGAGGGUGCAAGCGUUAAUCGGAAUUACUGGGCGUAAAGCGCGCGUAGGUGGUUUGAUAAGCGAGAUGUGAAAGCCCCGGGCUUAACCUGGGAACGGCAUUUCGAACUGUCAGGCUAGAGUAUGGUAGAGGGUAGUGGAAUUUCCUGUGUAGCGGUGAAAUGCGUAGAUAUAGGAAGGAACACCASUGGCGAAGGCGGCUACCUGGACCAAU